UACGGAGGGAGCUAGCGUUGUUCGGAACUACUGGGCGUAAAGCGCACGUAGGCGGCGCAGCAAGUCAGGGGUGAAAUCCCGGGGCUCAACCCCGGAACUGCCCUUGAAACUGCAGUGCUAGAAUCUUGGAGAGGCGAGUGGAAUUCCGAGUGUAGAGGUGAAAUUCGUAGAUAUUCGCAAGAACACCAGUGGCGAAGGCGGCUCACUGGCCCGGUACUGACGCUGAGGUGCGAAAGCGUGGGGAGCAAACAGG
rnacentral:rRNA from 1 species